AAUCCUCUGUGUUUGGUGAACAGAAUAUGGUGAAAAGUUUUGAAGAACAUACUUCAGCAAGAAGGACAAAGCUAAUGUAAAUAUAAACCAUAAAGUAUCCAAGCAGCUGCACCACCGAUUGAAACUUUGAUAGACGCUUAUACCAUCUAAACGUAUGUGUUAGAAGAGAUCAUAUCUGAAUCUCGGUGCAUUGUUGGCCCAUUUCCUAAGAGCUUACUUGAGAUCAGGUGGUUGGUCAGUUCCGUAAUAUAAUUAAGGCCCUCCCCCUCCCCCUCCCGUCGGGUCCCUGCCUGCCUGGCCGGCGAGCACCGCCGAUCGACGGGGCUCCGGCCUCUGCCGCCCAAGUAUGCCUCUUCGGCCUCUGCAAUAGCUUCUACUUGGGAGCGUACCAGGACGCCAUCAACAAGAGCGAAAUCCCCAAUCUCUCCCUCGACGACGCCGUCGAGCGCGACUCCCUCGUCUAUCGCUCCUACAUCGCCCUCGGCUCCUAGCAGCUCGUGAUCAGUGAGAUUGGUUCCUCAGCCUCCACUGCCCUCCAGGCUGUCAAGUUGCUCACCCUCUACCUCGCCGGAGACAAGGUUGGUUUCCCUGGUACCCGAACUAAAUCUGGUUGGACUUUCUUUUAGGUCUGCUGGUUUAAUUUGUUUCGAUCUGGAGCAGUGAAAUCCAAACCAUUUGAUCUGUCAU